UCAGAAAAUAUGGCUAUCAUUUUAGCUCCGUCUGCAAUUCGUGACUGACCGAAAAACGAGUCGCAUUGGAGCAACUACACCUAAAAACAAAGCUUACGCACACAAUUCUGUGGGAGCUGUGACGUUGGCGUUCUGCGAUUGAGCAGUGCUAUCUGUGGUAGAAGCGGUGUUUCAUGUUUGGAAGCGUGGUCAUUGCAUGGGUUUGUUUUCAUAGCAGUGACUGAAAGCUGGGCUUUGUUUUCGUAACAUUUGUGGCGGAAAUCUUGUUCUCACUGCCAUAUGCGAUUCGGAUUGUUAUUGAGCAUCUGCUCAAAAUGCCACACAAGUGCUGUAUGCCCUAUUGUAGGGGAAACUACGACAACGGUUUAAAAGUUAGCGUCUUUUCAUUCCCGUCUGAUGAAGCAUUAAGAUUGAAACGGAUCGCUGCAGUUCAUAGGAAUGACUGGGAACCCAGUAAACAGUUCGUUAUAUGUGAACUGCAUUUCACUGCAGACGACAUUGAGAAAAUUACCAGUGCUUACGACCCAAAACUGGCAAACUCUUUACAGUUUACAGCACCUUUGGACCGUCCACGUUUAAAGAAACGUUCGUGAAAAUUGAUCGUAAAGGAUGCUGUACCAUCAAAGUUGCCAGGAUGACCUACGUCUUUAUCUUCAAAACAAGCACCAGCUCGAGAAGAUUCAGAGAGUCGCGAAUGUUUGAAGUACCAAGCACUUGAGAAAGUCAUUGAGCAGAGUGUGGGAUCACACAAAAAAUGAUGGAGAAGAGUUCAUUUGCUAGUUUAGAAGAUUUUAAAUCAAAAUUAUCUGAUUGUGAAAAGCACAGUGACUAGGUCACGGUAACCAAAUCAAAUAAUUUGUGUCUUGUUUUAAAGGAUGCUCCUUAUCUAAGUGUUGUGUGUCAUGUUGUUAUAAAUAGUGAUUUAGUGUUAAGUGCAUUUGUGAAGGAAGCUCAGCUAAAUUGUGCUGGUAAGAUUAAAUUACCAAACCAAGUAAGUGAUACUGGUGCAGUUAGUAAUAUUUUGAAAGAGUUGUAUGUGAUGUUUCAUAUAAAUGAGGCUCCAUUUGAGGCAAGUUUGUCUUGCAUUGAAGACAUUUUGGAAAACUUGUAAGAAAAAUUACCAUAAAGUGAGCAUAAAAUUAAAUUUUUG